rnacentral:rRNA from 1 species
UACGAAGGGAGCUAGCGUUGUUCGGAAUCACUGGGCGUAAGGCGCACGUAGGCGGAUGUGUCAGUCAGGGGUGAAAUCCCGGAGCUCAACUUCGGAACUGCCUCUGAUACAGCACGUCUUGAGUCCGGAAGAGGUGGGUGGAAUUCCUAGUGUAGAGGUGAAAUUCGUAGAUAUUAGGAAGAACACCGGUGGCGAAGGCGGCCCACUGGUCCGGUACUGACGCUGAGGUGCGAAAGCGUGGGGAGCAAACAGG